rnacentral:rRNA from 1 species
UACGUAGGGUGCGAGCGUUGUCCGGAAUUAUUGGGCGUAAAGAGCGUGUAGGCGGCCAUGCAGGUCCGUUGUGAAAACUCGAGGCUCAACCUCGAGACGCCGGUGGAAACCGUGUGGCUAGAGUCCGGAAGAGGAGAGUGGAAUUCCUGGUGUAGCGGUGAAAUGCGCAGAUAUCAGGAAGAACACCCGUGGCGAAGGCGGCUCUCUGGGACGUGACUGACGCUGAGACGCGAAAGCGUGGGGAGCAAACAGG